rnacentral:lncRNA from 1 species
AUCAGAGUUUGAAAUUAGAACUCUGAAAAUAUGUACUGCAUAUGUUUCCUUUGUGUCCUCCUGCACAGGUUCGCAAAACACAGUUUUUCCCAGAUGGCAGCUUGCUGCAGGUUUCUUAAUACCUUGAACUGCAAGAUACCCAGUGUAGCUUUUAUUUUUCUGGAAUAUCCCAACAUGGGCUUCAUGCCAAGCACGCUGGUGUUGGAGAGGAGAAGCUGUACUGCAGCUGUUCUCACCACCCAGAGAAGCAGGUAAGAGGCUUUCAGAAAUGCCAUCAUGCAGUGGUAUGAGCAGUGGCUGGUAGCAGCAGGAGAGGGAAGAAUAUAAAAGAGGGUAAGCAUGUAGGAUGGUAAAAUGUACAAAUAUUGAUGGAUUCUUUGAGCAAGAAGUUUGUAUAUUUUUGUAAUAUUCCCCAGUGGACU